GACUCACGGCAACGGAUAUCUCGGCUCUCGCAUCGAUGAAGAACGUAGCGAAGUGCGAUACUUGGUGUGAAUUGCAGAAUCCCGCGAACCAUCGAGUUUUUGAACGCAAGUUGCGCCCAAAGCUUUCCGCCAAGGGCAUGCCUGCCUGGGCGUCACGCAUCA
rnacentral:rRNA from 1 species